rfam:Aureobasidium namibiae CBS 147.97 unplaced genomic scaffold scaffold_6, whole genome shotgun sequence.
CUCUUCUUAGCUCAGUUGGUUUAGAGCGUCUGACUGUAAUUGUUAAUUGUCAUCAGAAGGUCCUUUGUUCGACUCAGAGAGAGGAGA